UGGCUCAGAACGAACGCUGGCGGCGUGCCUCAGACGUGCAAGUCGAACGCGAAAGUUCCCUUCGGGGAGCAAGUAGAGUGGCGCACGGGUGAGUAACACGUAGGUAAUCUACCUUGGAUUGGGAAUAACAACCGGAAACGGUUGCUAAUACCGAAUAAUGCAGCGGCACCUAAUGGUGACAGUUGUUAAAGCGGGGGAUCGCAAGACCUCGCGUCUGAAGAGGAGCCUGCGGCAGAUUAGCUAGUUGGUAAGGUAACGGCUUACCAGGGCGAUGAUCUGUAGCCGGCCUGAGAGGGCGGUCGGCCACACUGACACUGGCAUACGGAUCAGACUCCUACGGGUGGCAGCAGUGGG
rnacentral:rRNA from 1 species